UAGGGGUGGGUGGGGUUUAUUUUUUG
rnacentral:piRNA from 1 species